UACGAAGGGGGCUAGCGUUGCUCGGAAUUACUGGGCGUAAAGGGCGCGUAGGCGGAUAGUUUAGUCAGAGGUGAAAGCCCAGGGCUCAACCUUGGAAUUGCCUUUGAUACUGGCUGUCUUGAGUUCGGGAGGGGUGAGUGGAAUGCCGAGUGUAGAGGUGAAAUUCGUAGAUAUUCGGCGGAACACCAGUGGCGAAGGCGACUCACUGGCCCGAUACUGACGCUGAGGCGCGAAAGCGUGGGGAGCAAACAGG
rnacentral:rRNA from 1 species